rnacentral:rRNA from 1 species
CACGUAUUUAGCCGGAGCUUUCUUCUAUGGUGCUGUCAUUAUCUUCCCAUAGGACAGAACUUUACGAUACGAAUACCUUCUUCGUUCACGCGGCGUCGCUGCAUCAGGGUUUCCCCCAUUGUGCAAUAUUCCCCACUGCUGCCUCCCGUAGGAGUUUGGACCGUGUCUCAGUUCCAAUGUGGCCGUUCAUCCUCUCAGACCGGCUACUGAUCGUCGCCUUGGUGGGCUGUUAUCUCACCAACUAGCUAAUCAGACGCGAGCCCAUCUAUGACCGAUAAAUCUUUGACCGUUAAAACAUGUGUUUCUACGAUUUUAUGCGGUAUUAAUCCCGGUUUCCCGAGGCUAUCCCACUGUCAUAGGCAGGUUGCUCACGCGUUACUCACCCGUUCGCCACUCUCAUUAGUAAUCUUCCACCGAGGUUUCUGUUUACUAAAUCCCGUUCGACUUGCAUGUGUUAAGCACGCCGCCAGCGUUCGUCCUGAGCCAGGAUCAAACUCU